AAAAAAAAAAAAGACGUGCUUUAACACAUGCAAGUCGAGCGAAUGGAUUAAGAGCUUGCUCUUAUGAAGUUAGCGGCGGACGGGUGAGUAACACGUGGGUAACCUGCCCAUAAGACUGGGAUAACUCCGGGAAACCGGGGCUAAUACCGGAUAACAUUUUGAACCGCAUGGUUCGAAAUUGAAAGGCGGCUUCGGCUGUCACUUAUGGAUGGACCCGCGUCGCAUUAGCUAGUUGGUGAGGUAACGGCUCACCAAGGCAACGAUGCGUAGCCGACCUGAGAGGGUGAUCGGCCACACUGGGACUGAGACACGGCCCAGACUCCUACGGGAGGCAGCAGUAGGGAAUCUUCCGCAAUGGACGAAAGUCUGACGGAGCAACGCCGCGUGAGUGAUGAAGGCUUUCGGGUCGUAAAACUCUGUUGUUAGGGAAGAACAAGUGCUAGUGAAUAAGCUGGCUCUGACCUUCUUUCCCAGU
rnacentral:rRNA from 1 species